UGAAGUGAAAAGACCUUCGAGAACUGAUGCAAAGGGAAAUGAGCACAACCAAGAGAACUUUGUACAGUGAAAGGGAAACAUUGUGGAGCUAUCCAAUGUAAUGGACUUUACUACUCUACAGUAAUUCAGCACAGUCCUGAGGGACUUAUGAGAAGGAAAGCUAUCCACACUGAGAGAAAGAACUGUGGGAGUAGAAAUGUAAAAGAAAAACUUGCGACUUAGCACCUGUUUAUAUGGGUAUAUGAUUUGGGGUUUCAGCUCUAAAAGAUUGCUCUACAGCAAAAAUGAAUAACGUAGAAGUAGGCAUCUAAUGAUAACAUUGUACAACCCAGUGGAAUUGCUUGUCCGCUCUGGGAGGAGGGAGGGAAAGAAAAUGAAUCAUGUAAACAUGGAAAAUAUUUUUUAAAAAAGAUUUACAAUCACAAUCAAAUUACAUUUGGGUUUGGAAUUUUCUGAUGUCUCUAGGCAAGCCAAUGCUUUUCUCAGGGCCUCUAGAGAUAUUACUAGCAGUUUCGAUGCCCAGAGAAUCUUUCACAAAAGGUACUAGGAAAGGGGAGCAAUAAAUAUUUCCUCAAAUCAGCCUUUGAGACAAAUUCAGAUGGAGGUAGCAGUGGAGAGAACCUGGGACACCAUGCCCUGCGGAUGGAGAAGACAGGAAUCCCUCAGGACUCAAUUAGCUAAUAAAGCAGGAUGGGGAAACUUUGGCCCAGAGCAGUGAAAUGGCUUGACCAGCGGCAUAAAGGUCCACAAGGAGAAGAGCUGGAAUUGGAAGCCAUGUUGCCUGACUCCAAAUCAACUCUCCAUGACCCUGCAGGCACAUCUGGGUCCCAUCACAGCUGCCCAGGAGAAUGACUUCGGUGGGAAGGGCAAAAAGGAAAAGAGCUCCAAGUUCCUGCUCCAGAGGGCUGGUAGAAGCCAUUCAUCUCCAUCCAUCUUUAGUACUAGAGGGCAGCAGCAGACUUUGCCCUCUGGGAUUUAUUUGGUGGGGAAGGAAUUUGGGGAAUAUGUUACUGACUCAGCUGUUCUGAGAAACAGCCAAGGCUAA
rnacentral:lncRNA from 1 species